ACUGCUCACAUCUAAACAAUCAUUUUAUGUAAACAAAACUGAACACACCAGUUGCUUGAAAUAGUUUCAGUUUUAUGUGUGAUUUAAAAUCCAAAAACUAUUAUUAAUUUCUUCAGGAAUUUGCUCGUUGAAUGUAAGUUAACGUAUUUUAUUUAUUAAUUGUGGUUUAUACACAAUUCAGAUUUUUUUAUUUGCGAUGUAAAUACGUUCCUGAUAUAACGCAAUACCAUAAAACGUCUGUGUUGUUUGAUAUCUAUUACUUGUUAUUUUAAUUGACAUUUAUAUUUACGGUUUAUUUAUAACAUAAAUUGGGAGAUAUUUGAGGGCGUUCGUUUACCUUUUGGAUGUUAUGGCUUUUUACGCAGGUUUUAUUUGAUAUAUAUGGGGUCAAUGAACUACGUGAAAUCUAGAUUUUUCCAAUACCUAUAAAUAAUAUUCUAAAUUUAGACCAACCAAUCGGAUUGUUUGUUUUGUUUUGGUAGCUAUAUAUAAAUAAUAUUUCACAAUCACGUGUUGUAAGUCAUUUAUACUGCACUCGUUCUAUAUUGAGCCAGUCAAAAUGCGUUGACCGUAUAUUUCAUAUGUCAUAUACAGUCCUGACCUUGAUAUCACUUCUUCCUCAUGAAUUAUUUAAAUAGAAAUUGUUCGAAAUUAUAGUUUAAUUAUUCAUACGACUCUUCAACCGUUCUUGUUUCCAUGUAAACAACGAUUGCGUUUAACGACUCAAACUUGUUUCUUUUGCAAUUUUUGGGAAAAAACAUAUUUCCUUUAUAUAAUAUUUUUUGUUUGCAACCUAGAAAUCAUUAUGUUUUAUGUUUUAGUGUGAUAUUUUAAGUCUGUAAUCAAACGAAUUCGUUCACAUUGAUAGCGGUUUUCAAAAGGUUAAUGAUGUACAUUUCAUCGUUUGUAUUCUGCCGCCUGUGUGAAUGAGCCUUUUUAAAGGGGAUUUUCCCAAUAUUUAAAUCAAAUAAAUAAACAAUGGAAACACACUAAACAACAAUGAAAAAUGUUUUUUUUUUUUAGAUUGCAGUAUAAAGACAAAAAUAGUGAUUGAUUGACAUAUCAACGAAUAAGGAUUCGGCCCGAAACGGGGAAAAUGUCGGCACAGCCUCCGCAUUCCCCGGUUUCUAAGCCCUAUCCUAUAUCGUUGAUAUGUCAAAGUCAAUGCAUAUUAUUGUCUAUGUAUUACGAUGCUAAGUCAAAAGGUAAAUUUAUUUUAACUAUAGUAUUUUUUUUUAAAGUUCUAUCAUUUAUGAGGGUCGUAAUGGGGGUAAAAAUUCUUGCCAAAUGACGUUAACGGUAAAUUUUGGUGCAUGACGAUAAAAUGUACACUUUCUUUCAGACGAUAAAACAAUCUACUGAUUUUGACGAAUCACGUCAAUUUUUUUCCAAAAAUAACGGUAACGGUAAUUAUUUGAGACCUCUGACGAAUCACGUUAUCGAUAAUUUGACGAAUCACGGUAAAAUUUUAACCAAUUUGACGCUAACAGUAGCCAAAAAUGACCGUUUGACGCCUGACGGUAAAUUUAUAUUAUUUGUUUUGUCUGUACUGAUCAAUUAUGAGGUUAGACGUUUUUAAUUUUAAGUUGAACAAUUCUCAUGAUUAUUGUCUGUCAUAUAUAUAUAUGUAUUAAUUGAGUUAUCAUGAAUAUAUUGUUAUUAUUUGUUGUAUACAUAUGUUUCUUUUUGUUUUGUGUUUUUUGCUACACAUGUUACAUUUCUAUACAUUGUUUAGAUUGCAUUGCAUAUGUUAUUGUUUAUAAUGAUAUUGUUUAUAUCCUAUUCUGUUCUGUCUGAUCUGGUCUGGUCUGGUCUGGUCUGGUCUGGUCUGUAUUAAUACUCAUAAUUAUAUUGUAUUGUCUGUACCUGUAACUUCAUUAAUAUGCUUGUUAUGAGCCCUAUGAUUUAAUUUUAGGAAAAUAAAACAAUUAUAUUCUAUUCUAUUACAUGUUCAGGAGAAUCGGGGAUCCCCUUAAAAAGAAGACGCAAAUAGGAUACACUCAUUCUUUUGUAAAAUAUUUGGAAAUAUUUCCCUUUGAACCCCUCUUGAUGACAGAAUAAGCACAGAUACACAUGAAUGGCCGGCUCGAAAGGAAGUCUUGCCAAAUAUUUUAUAUAUCGCAUGCCUGGGUUUACCACUACUGGUCAAACAUUUUGUUUCGAUUUUAUUGUUGAAACUCAGUCAAUGUUGUAUUCUUUUCCCCCCUAAUUUUCAAUGAUAACAAAUUAUUCUUUUACUUCCCUUCUGAAGCAAAUAUAUAUAUAGAGAAUCCCCAACACAAUAUGAAUGAUCGAUGCCUAAUUGUAGCAAAAGUUUAAAAAUGAGCAGUACAAUUCAAUAAAUGGACACAUUUUAUUUCUUUUAAUAUGAAUAAAUGUAUACGAGAAAAAUAUAAUGAUUAUUUCACAUUAUUCUGCGCUCAUUGAUUAAAAUAUCUAUUAUUUUAUUAUCAUUAUUAUUAUUGAUAUUGUAGGAAACCUUAAUAUGACAGUAGAUAGAUCAAGGAGACCUAGUAAUCGCCCCAGCAGACGACCGGCCAAGGUCGACGUAAAGGUCAAGUUAGAACGCAGUAGGCAGAGUGCAAGGGAAUGUAGAGCGAGGAAGAAGUUACGAUACCAGUACCUGGAAGAUUUGGUUACUAGUAAGGAAAAUGCCAUCUUUAAGUUAAGGGACGAACUUGCAUUGGUGAGCUAUUAUUCUUUCUUCGUUUGAAAAUAGACAUCUAUUUAUACAUUUGUUUGCUUUUUUUGUAUUUGCAUUAUU
rnacentral:lncRNA from 1 species